rnacentral:lncRNA from 1 species
ACUAGGAAAAUAUUUCUUAUACAGUCAACAAUAGCAUAUUAAUGGGGAUGAUUUAAGGAGCCCAAGCUUCUAUUCUGUUGCCAGAAUGCCAACGGGAAUGUAUGCUACUUUUCAAAAAAUAGGUGUUGACAAUAGCCUGCAGUAUUGCACUGUAGUCAAAGAAGAGUGCUGAAAGCUUCAGUUCAUAAAAAUGCUUGAUUCAUCAAAAAUAAUCACCUCACCUGAUAAUUGAAAGCUACAGAGAAUUAUUAUGCAGCCGUGGACUCUCAAAAAUUUAUUCAUUUUUGGUAAUUAACAUUAUUUCUUCUUGAUGAUGUUGCUAAAUGGCUUGAACCCAGUCUGAAGAACCAUGCAUGAUCAUUUAUGCUGAAAAGAAAAGAAAUUAGAAGCUUUUGUUGCACAGAAUGGUGGAUAAAGAUUGCGAAUUUGCACAGCUAUAAAGCUUACUAAUUAAAGACUACAAACACAAAGAGAGCAAGCCUUGUGAUGACUGCACAAUAACGAGGAUUCAGAUACAACGUGGUCGCCACCUGACGCCCACCUCCACAAAAAGCCAUUCUCAAAAGGAGAGAGACAUUCAUAUCCAGAAGAGGGAGUCGGCUGUAGGGUAGAGAAAUAUCAGAGAUGCUUACGUAGAAUUUGGAAAACUUUAAUUUUCACCAAAUACUCAUGUGCUUUGGGCUUACAGCAUAUGAAUUUUGGCAGAAGAGAAGUGAACCAGAAUAGAAGGAGGAGGGGAUAUUUAAUAAGAGAUUACAAAAAUGCUUUCUCUGGGUAAGAGAUGUGGUCUUCAUUUAAUGUUCAACUUAAAAAAAUAAAAAUUAUACCAU